CAAGACGUAGCUAUAACCCCAAAGCAUUCAGCUUACACCUGAAAGAUAUCUUCCCGAAACAAGAUCG
rnacentral:tRNA from 1 species